GAGCCCCAGCAGAAUCUUCUACUCAUCCUGUACCUUUUUUCCAUGAUUUACACAAAUGUCACAAAGAGGUCAACAUUCACAUCUGAGCUGGCACUAACCAGAAAGAAGAAAGAGCUGUCUCAUGCAAGUGACAGAAUCCAGCAGGGUCAGUGAAUAUGUUGGUGUUCUAUGUGCACAGAUGUGGCAUGAAGCAGGCAGAGAGAACAGAUUCAGACAGAAGGGAUGUCUCGUGGCCUUCUGAGACUUGAAUUUUCAUCUCCAAGAUAAAAGUGUGACCAAUGCAAGAAGAGAAGUAAAUUGGUAGGAGAAGCACGAAUGAAGCUGAUCUGACAAGAAUAUACAAAUAUGGGAGAAACAGUGAAAUCUGACCUAGCUUUUGAACAAUGAAAAAAAGAAAGUGGUGAAAGUUGUUCUAGGCUAGCAAAUAGCAUAAACCAAGAGAGAAGAUGUAAAAUGUCAGGGAUUUUCAGGGAAAUUCCAUAUAAAAGCUGAUUUGCUGAAAUACCAGAAAAACUCACAUGACCUAAGAUGUAGACAAUAACUCAAAAUUUGUUUAUACUUUCAAUGUUUUGUGUUCUUUUGUCUUCACUGACAAUGAAUUAUCCGCCAAAAG
rnacentral:lncRNA from 1 species